CAGAACAUCUAACCUUUCUGAGAAAAGACACGUUAAGUCCUGCAGCAACGACCUGCUGCUGCCAGUGUGCACCACAUCAGCCAUCAGUACCAGACCAGUCAGACUCACUGCUGGUAGUCCGGAGUCUCACCUCACUGAAGGCCCUGAGGACUGCUCUGCAACCCUACUGUUUAACUGCAUAUAAUGCCAUCUGGAACCCCGAGGAGGGCUCUGUUACCAGAUUUCUGCAGUGCAAAAGCUGUUUGUCUCAAAGCCCCGUUCUGUCUGCAGCUUUAAUUGCAGCAGAGAUCCAGUACCCUCGAGACACGAGUCAAGAUCAGAUCUGGUUGGCCCCAGCAGCAGUCCAGUUCUGCUCUCUCAUCCAUAUUAAAAGCUUUAACUCAGACAACAAAGAGUGAAGAAAGUUUGAGGAGAUCACUAACGGCACUAGAUUUUAUUUAUUUAUAUUUUAUUUGCCUUUGUAUAUAUUUUUAUACUUUGGUGCCAUUAUUUUUGUUACAUGUGACAUUUUGAAUAUGUUUAAAACUGUGUCCUAUGUAGUUACUAAUGUUCAAAUAAA